rnacentral:rRNA from 1 species
AGAUUAAACUGAAGAGUUUGAUCCUGGCUCAGAUUGAACGCUGGCGGCAUGCCUUACACAUGCAAGUCGAACGGCAGCGCGGGGCAACCUGGCGGCGAGUGGCGAACGGGUGAGUAAUAUAUCGGAACGUACCCUGGAGUGGGGGAUAACGUAGCGAAAGUUACGCUAAUACCGCAUACGAUCUAAGGAUGAAAGUGGGGGAUCGCAAGACCUCAUGCUCCUGGAGCGGCCGAUAUCUGAUUAGCUAGUUGGUGGGGUAAAGGCCUACCAAGGCAUCGAUCAGUAGCUGGUCUGAGAGGACGACCAGCCACACUGGAACUGAGACACGGUCCAGACUCCUACGGGAGGCAGCAGUGGGGAAUUUUGGACAAUGGGCGCAAGCCUGAUCCAGCAAUGCCGCGUGAGUGAAGAAGGCCUUCGGGUUGUAAAGCUCUUUUGUCAGGGAAGAAA